GAUGAACGCUGGCGGCGUGCUUAACACAUGCAAGUCGAACGAUGAGGCCCAGCUUGCUGGGUGGAUUAGUGGCGAACGGGUGAGUAACACGUGAGUAACCUGCCCUUGACUCUGGGAUAAGCGCUGGAAACGGCGUCUAAUACCGGAUACGAGCUUCCACCGCAUGGUGAGUUGCUGGAAAGAAUUUCGGUCAAGGAUGGACUCGCGGCCUAUCAGGUAGUUGGUGAGGUAACGGCUCACCAAGCCGACGACGGGUAGCCGGCCUGAGAGGGUGACCGGCCACACUGGGACUGAGACACGGCCCAGACUCCUACGGGAGGCAGCAGUGGGGAAUAUUGCACAAUGGGCGCAAGCCUGAUGCAGCAACGCCGCGUGAGGGACGAAGGCCUUCGGGUCGUAAACCUCUUUUAGCAGGGAAGAAGCGAAAGUGACGGUACCUGCAGAAAAAGCACCGGCUAACUACGUG
rnacentral:rRNA from 1 species